CAAUAGCGUAUAUUUAAGUUGCUGCAGUUAAAAAGCUCGUAGUUGGAUUUCGGGUGGGAAUGGCCGGUCCGCCGUUUCGGUGUGCACUUGCUACGCCCACCUUGCUGCCGGGGACGUGCUCUUGAGUUCACGCUCGGGACACGGAGUCGGCGAGGUUACUUUGAGUAAAUUAGAGUGUUCAAAGCAGGCCUACGCUCUGAAUACAUUAGCAUGGAAUAACACGAUAGGACUCUGGCCUAUCUUGUUGGUCUGUAGGACCGGAGUAAUGAUUAAGAGGGACAGUCGGGGGCAUUCGUAUUUCAUUGUCAGAGGUGAAAUUCUUGGAUUUAUGAAAGACGAACUACUGCGAAAGCAUUUGCCAAAGAUGUUUUCAUUAA
rnacentral:rRNA from 1 species